UAUCAAUGGCAUCCAAGGACAGCUCCCCCGCCCAGUCCAUCACCCGAGCCCUAAAGGACUUCCGUCCCCCAACCCUCCCAGUCCCCGUCAACGGCAUCAACCCCAUCGCCGUCUCCGGCUCCUCCUACGUCCCCAACCCACCUCACUGGAAGAAGGCCGCCGAGGCCCUCAGCUGCAACCACUUCGACGAGGUCCACCGCAUGGUCACCCAGUUCACCACCCUCUCCACUGUCGAACUCCAGGGCACUACUCUCACAGUCGCCCAAGUCGCCGCCAUCGCCCGCCGCACUUCCGUUGCCGUUGCCCUUGACGAGCCUACGGCCAGGGCACGUGUCGAUCGCAGCGCCCGCUGGGUGUCCGACAACAUCGAGCGCGGCACUGACACCUACGGUGUCACCACCGGCUUCGG
rnacentral:misc_RNA from 1 species